AACACUCUCAGAAAUAGGGGUAAAAUCUAUACUGUAUUUUUGUAAAAGGCUUUUAAGUAAUUCUGAUGCAAACUUGUGUGUUUUCUUAAAUCUUAAUAUCAUUUUUUGGUUUUAAGAAUUAUAGGAGGGCCCCAUUCCCAUGCAUGUCCUUUGUUCAUUUUCUUCCAUUAUUAACAUCUAACAAAACCAUAGUAAAAAAUAUUGUAACCUGGAUGUUUUACAUGGGUACAUUCAAGGUACCAUUCCCACAAGGACCUCUCAAUUUGAAUUGUUCUUACUUUCCUCCCACUACUUUCUUAUUCCCUGCAACCAUGCUUCUUCCCAUUCUAUAAUUUUAUUUUGAGAAUGUGCAAAACCUUUUCUAAAAGGUAGUAUUCAAAUUUUUGAAAGAACAAAUAAACAAUGUAGUAAUUAAUUAAUAACAGUAUAACCAAUAUGUAUAGUUCAAAGAAGAACAGGUUACAGAGAGUGUCUUCUCAGGCCAGUCACUGGGGAGAAAGCUGGGAGUAUCCCCUCAAAAAACUUAAAAUACAGAGGAAUAAGCAGAUAUUAAAUAAAUGCACAAAUGAAUAUAAAACUGCAAAUUAAGAAAGGUGUUUUGAAGAACAUUAUAUACUAAUUAUGACACAUUAUUCCAUUCACUAGUUCAUGUUGGCUUGCCUCUACCUCUAAAUUACUGUAUAUUUAUUUGAUAUUUUAUCUUUCGAGGGGGAAAAGCAUAUGUUUCUGGCUUUUUGCCUGUCCCUCAAAGGACACAUUUUAAAUGCUGAAUAGAAUAGUGAAAUUCGCGGUUUAUUAAACAACUCU
rnacentral:lncRNA from 1 species